UGGGGAAUUUUGGACAAUGGGGGAAACCCUGAUCCAGCCAUCCCGCGUGUGCGAUGAAGGCCUUCGGGUUGUAAAGCACUUUUGGCAGGUAAGAAACGUCAUGGGUUAAUACCCCGUGAAACUGACGGUACCUGCAGAAUAAGCACCGUCUAACUACGUGCCAGCAGCCGCGGUAAUACGUAGGGUGCAAGCGUUAAUCGGAAUUACUGGGCGUAAAGCGUGCGCAGGCGGUUCGGACAGAAAGAUGUGAAAUCCCAGAACUCAACUUUGGAACUGCAUUUUUAACUACCGGGCUAGAGUGUGUCAGAAGGAGGUGGAAUUCCGCGUGUAGCAGUGAAAUGCGUAGAUAUGCGUAGGAACACCGAUGGCGAAGGCAGCCUCCUGGAAUAACACUGACGCUAAUGCACGAAAGCGUGGGGAGCAAACAGG
rnacentral:rRNA from 1 species